GGCCCCGCACAAGCAGUGGAGCAUGUGGUUUAAUUCGAUGCAACGCGAAGAACCUUACCAGGCCUUGACAUCCUCGGAACUUUCUAGAGAUAGAUUGGUGCCUUCGGGGACCUAGUGACAGGUGCUGCAUGGUUGUCGUCAGCUCGUGCUGUGAAGUGUCGGGUUAAGUCCCAUAACGAGCGCAACCCCCAUUCUAGUUGCCAGCGGUUCGGCCGGGGACUCUAGAGAAACUGCCAGCGUAAGCUGUGAGGAAGGUGGGGAUGACGUCAAAUCAUCACGGCCCUUACAUCCUGGGCCACACACGUGCUACAAUGGCCGGUACAGAGGGCUGCAAUACCGCAAGGUGGAGCGAA
rnacentral:rRNA from 1 species